ensembl:lncRNA novel transcript
GGAACACUGAAUGAAACCCGGGCGGAUUCCCAGCUUGCUCCGUCUCAGCUUGGGCACUGCUGUUUACAGCCUGUGUACUCCCCUCCCGCCCUGCCACCCACAAGUGUCUCACCUCCUUCCUCGACAGAUCGAAUGACACAACAAACAUUUAUCUUGGGUGCACAGCGUGUCAGGCGUCAGGCUAAGCACUUUGAUAAACUGGUUCUUUCAAACAUCACAGGUGUCUGACGCAGGCACCAUUAUCCACGUCAUAGAAAAAAAACAGUGUUCAGUGAGCCUGAGGUUAGCAAUGUGUGCACCUCCACACACUGCUAAAUGACAAAGCUGAAUUUUGAAGUACGAUGCCAUGAGGUGUCUGGAGUAGACAACCAAAAUGACUUAAUUGAGGUGUCAGGGGACUGUCUUACUUUCUGGUCACACAAGCAAUAUACGCUCAUUGUGAGGUUUGGUUGUUCCAUUACAAAAAAGACUGUUUUAAAAGCCAUUAGCGGAGGGAUGGGAGGAGUUCUCUUCUGCCUGUUUCUUCCUCCUAAACAGCAAAAUGACGGUGUCCUCAAAGGGAUGUAUAAUGAGCGAGAGGCGAAAAAGAACGUCUGUGAUUUUAAAUCCAGUGUCCUUCACCAGUGAGCAAUAGUAGUUCUGUGAGUGGGAGAGCAGGACCGCGGUGCUUGCAAACAACACUUUAAAACACUGGAACCCAAGUUCAGGAUCUGCUGACAGCACAUCUGCAGGAAGCAUGAGGGUCUCUGGACUCCCGCAGAUCAGCUGCUCAGCUUCUCAGCCUCAAUGUGGCAAAGACUCUACCUGACCUAACUCCAGGCAGGGUCCUCGAAGCCCUCAAGGCUCUGACCUGGACCCCUGUCCCCUUUCGUCCAAAAGAAUCCUGCUGGGUCAAUGCAGUGACAGUUCCCCGCCCCUGAUAUCAUACUCCUCAUCCCUCACCCUCGGUAUCUUAUCACCUGGCCUGCCUGUGGCACGAAUCCUACCAAGUGGUUCUAGCAAGAACCCCCCUGGCCUGAUGUAGCCUCUUCAUAGUUUUCCGUCCGUUCUCACCCUCUCCGUGGCUGUACAUUCCCGUUUUUCUUCUUACACUCAGAGUUGAGCCUAGUCCCACUGCAGUGGCCCCUGCACCUAUCGCGAUUCCUUUGAGACUGUAAAACAAAAAUAAAAUUCUAGUCCCCCGCCAACCCCGUUAGCCACGAGCUUUCCAAAGUAAACCUUAGAGACUAGUUCAGACCGUGAUGGGAAGUGGGGGUGGGACAGGCUCCUUAUACCCGCCUUCCGUUGAAAUCCAGGCACAGCUGACCUGCAUUAACGUCAAAGCAGAGAUCUUAAGGUUGACAAAACAGACUCUGUAGCAAUAAGAUACUACAUUCCAACCUGACUCUAGUAUAGCAUCACAUGAUAGAGAGCAGGCCCUGGAAGAAAUCAAGCAUUUUACCCCAGAAUAUAUUUCUUUGACAUAUUUUGAAGGGGCCCCACACGGCUGUCUCUUGAGGGGAAAAUCCACAUCCUGCCAGAAUCCCCUUCCCUUUCCAGGUCUUUUCCCUGAUCUAGGAGAGAUUUAACUAAGAGUCUGGCACCUCUUUUAGGUCCAAUAAGAGCUCUGAAGAUAAAAAACCUUGGUCUCCACAACCUUUAUCGUAACCCAGACAAUCCUUUCUAUUCAUUCCAGGUCUCUACAAUAAUAACUUAACUCUUUCAAUUAAUUGCCCAUCAGAAAAUCGUUGAAUCCAUCUGUGACCUGGACACCUUCCACCUGCAUCCAUGGAGUUGUGUCACCUUUCUGGACCAAACCACUGGACACCUUACAUGUAUCGAUUGGCAACAUGUACACCUCCACACACUGCUAAAUGACAAAGCCGAAUUUUGAAAUACGAUACUGUGAGGUGUUUGGAGAAGAGAACUGAAAUGACGUCAUGGAGGUGGCAGGGGAUCGUCUUGCCCUUUUCUUAUUUUCUGCCUGUAACUUCUGUCCCCCUAAAAUGCAUAAAAUCCAGCUAGAACCCAACCACCUUAUGCAGCAGUUCUUAGGACCUCAUGGGGCUGUGUCAUCAAUCAAAGUCCUCAUAUUUGGCUCAGAAUAAAUCUCAUCAACUAAUUUACAAAUUUGACUCUUUGUGUUGACAAGUCUGUCUUACCGUUCUUUAAUAAGGGCCGUGUAUAAUGUUUUCUUUAGCAAGUGUGGCAAAAUUAAACCUUAGAAAUAAAGAGAAAAAGAACUCAUUAUAGAAAACUGU